rnacentral:rRNA from 1 species
UGCGCAGGCGGGAAGGUAAGUUAGAGGUGAAAUCUCACGGCUCAACCGUGAAACUGCCUUUGAUACUGCUUUUCUUGAGUUAGGGAGAGGUUGAUGGAAUUCCAGGUGUAGCGGUGAAAUGCGUAGAUAUCUGGAAGAACACCGGUGGCGAAGGCGGUCAACUGGCCCUAAACUGACGCUCAGGCACGAAAGCGUGGGGAUCAAACAGGAUUAGAUACCCUGGUAGUCCACGCCCUAAACGAUGAAUACUUGGUGUUGGCCUUUUUUGGUCAGUGCCGAAGGUAACCUGAUAAGUAUUCCACCUGGGGAGUACGCUCGCAAGGGUGAA